GGGGGUAAUAUCUACCUUCCUGAACACCCCCUCUGUUAUUACUAUUGCUCCCUCCAAAACUUACUCUUGCUCUAUAGCCACCACUGUAACCACUUCGCCCCCUUCUCUCAUCUUGUCUACCACCUGCUAUAUAUCCCCUCUGUGGGCAUUCACCUUUCCAAUGUCCUUCCUCACUACAAUACGCACAUUGGUUUCUGCCUAAUGAUAGCCUGCUUAUCCUAGUCUAACCUCCUCUAUCCAUUUCCCCUCCUUGUCUACCCACACCUGUAAUAGCAACCGCUAACAUCUCCUCAUGCUUCGUUUCAGCUUCCAUAUUCAUAUAUACACUGUUCACAAUCUCCAUUAGCUGCGUUAUGGACAUCCCUGCAAAUCCCUCUAACUUUUGCAACUUCCUUUUAAUAACAUUCUGGGCCUGGCUGACAUAUGCUGAAUUAAUCUUGCUAUAAUUUUCAGGAGCUUCAGGAUUAAAAGGGGUAUACAAUCUAUAUGACUCAAGCAGUCUCUCAUAAAAGGCACUGGGUGAUUCAUCGGCUUUCUGUAACACUUCAGCCGUCCUUGACAUAUUAAUACCCUUUUUUCCACCUGCCUUCAUGCCAGUAAUAAUGGCUUGUUGAUAGGCUUUUAAAUAGAUC